AAACUAUUUUUUUCAUUUUAGAUAUUUGUACAAGAAGSAAUGGGCUCUGAAUUUUGACUAUGUUUUCUAGACACAAAGGGAAGUGUAUGGACCUGACGAUGAGGUUGUCACAGAUGUCACUAUGGAUCAAUCUGGGGCUCUUCUCCAUCUUGCACAAGUAGCCUUUUUGUUCUUUCUGAAAACGGUAGACUUGCUCAGUCUGCCUUGUGCGCACAAGACAUUGGAUUCUACUAUUUUUUAGACAGAAGUCACCUAUUCUAAGACUCAAGCUCACUAAAGUUUUUCAAAGUAACCAGGAACUCUCAAAAGGAAGUGGAAAGAAGUCCAAAAAGAAGAGAAGAUUGCUGCGUGAGGUGAGGUGCUGUUUAUUCCCAAUGAAGGAGGUGACUCCUGACCAAGGCAAGAACAACCUAAUAGGUAAGAAGGGGAGGAAAGAAGAUCURUUGUUCCAUUUUACAGAUAAGAAACUGAGGCACAGAGAUUAAAAGACACUGGCUACUUUCUACUAGUAAACUAAACAGUGACAGAGAUGGUUUUCUGGAACCAAGAUAAACUAGCAGGGCUUUGUCAUGUCCAGACUAUUAAACACUCUAACCUCCAAAACUGGUGUCUGAAUUAAAUUCUCUGGCCUACUCUGAGU
rnacentral:lncRNA from 1 species